AUUCUCCUGUAAAGAGAAGGGGAAAAUAAAAAAUAAAUAAAAUGGAAAAGUGAAGAGAGAGGCGAGUACAGAUUCCGAAUAAACGCCACAAGGACAAAUGUACAAUUCGGCAGCUUUUAGCGGGCCGACCAGAUGCCUGCUCUGAAACGUCUGGGAAUCCAAAUCCCCACCAGGACAAGGGGUUAAAGCUUUUAAGUAAAUGCGUUAAUGUUCAAUUUUUUGGAAAUGAUAGCGAGGGUGGUGGUGGGGGAGAAUGUAUGCACCCCAUCCGCAAAACCGGCGCAAUUUCUACGCACCAAUUACCGCCCGUCCUGCCUCAGCUACCGCCUGGGACUCCUGGCUGUUUUUCGGCAAGGUUCCAGAGGAGCACGGCGACCGCACCAGCGUGGCCUGAUUACACCCCGGCCAAGGGAACGUCUGGGCCCACGGGUUUGCAGUCUGUUCCACCAGACAUAACCAGUCUCGGAAAUAACAGAGGAGAAUAGCUCCGGACCACAGAAGGCAAUCUAUACAUCUUCCUGAGAGAAAGGAGCCACUUCCAGCAGGCCAAUCCAAUUGGCCAUUCACCAGCCACCC